AAAAUUUUUAAAUUUUUACGUUGAUGGAUUUUUAAUUAUCAUUAUAUUUUAUUUAAUUGUUGUAAAAACAUUUCCUAAAAACAAUAUAUUUAUGAUAUAUAAAAAAAUAUGAAGAAUUAUUUACUCGUGAUAAAUAUUGUUCACAACUUAUGAAACAUUCGAUAUUGUUUUAUGGUUUCUUAUAAUUUAAUUAGGUACACUAUAUAUCAUAUAUCACGUGUUCUGUAAGAAUACAUAUUUACAGGCAACAAUAAUUUGUCGCUAAAUAACGAACAGGAACUUCGAUCCUCACUCUUGAUUCGUUCCUCGAUAUAUUUGCCGGAAACUAUUUAAUAAAACAUUUUUUACGAUGCGGUCGAUAAUUGUAAGAUGAUCUGUUGAUUUGCAUCUAGUGACAAAACAUUUAUAUUGAUUACUGUGAAAAAGAUCUCGACAUACAUAGGGAAUUAUAAUUCUAUUUACGAAUUAUUCUGAAUUAUCAUCAUUAUUUACGAUGCCUCAUCUCUCGUCGACUGCUACCAAAAAAUAAUUUUGGAUCAGUCUCAAUUUAUAUAUUCUCUAUAAAAA